rnacentral:rRNA from 1 species
UAGGGAAUAUUGGGCAAUGGACGAGAGUCUGACCCAGCCAUGCCGCGUGCAGGAAGAAGGCGUUAUGCGUUGUAAACUGCUUUUGAACGGGAACAAAGAGCCCAUGCGUGGGUAAAUGAGUGUACCGUUAGAAUAAGCACCGGCUAACUCCGUGCCAGCAGCCGCGGUAAUACGGAGGGUGCAAGCGUUGUCCGGAUUUAUUGGGUUUAAAGGGUGCGUAGGCGGUUAACUAAGUCAGUGGUGAAAGGCAGCAGCUUAACUGUUAGCACUGCCAUUGAUACUGGUUGACUUGAGUACAGACGAGGUAGGCGGAAUUUAUGGUGUAGCGGUGAAAUGCAUAGAUACCAUAAAGAACACCGAUUGCGAAGGCAGCUUACUAGACUGUAACUGACGCUGAGGCACGAAAGCGUGGGGAUCGAACA